rnacentral:rRNA from 1 species
GACCUCGGAUCAGGUAGGACUACCCGCUGAACUUAAGCAUAUUAA